rnacentral:rRNA from 1 species
UACAGAGGGUGCGAGCGUUAAUCGGAGUUACUGGGCGUAAAGGGCGCGUAGGCGGUUAUUUAAGUGAGAUGUGAAAUCCCUGGGCUUAACCUAGGAACGGCAUCUCAUACUGGAUGACUGGAGUAUUGUAGAGGGUAGUGGAAUUUCCGGUGUAGCGGUGAAAUGCGUAGAGAUCGGAAGGAACACCAGUGGCGAAGGCGGCUACCUGGACAAAUACUGACGCUGAGGCGCGAAAGCUAGGGGAGCAAACGGG